CCCUAUGGUUGACAGCUGCGGAUGACCGACCACCAUCUCACUUGGAGCCGGACAAUGGAAAUUGUACGCGUAUGCGUCAACGAUAUGAUGCAGACCGAUUAUGUUUAUUUCUUGACGGAACCCAUGGGGGCAAACUUCCGUCCAGACUUCAGGCCCGAAUUGACCCCGAAGGAGAUGCUUGAACUAGGUGUGUUCGGUGGGAAAUAUAUGACUGACUGCACAGACGAAUUCCCGCAAGAUUGGUUUGCGGAUGCUAAACUCUGUCAUGUACGCCAUGUUCCCGAGUUGAACUACUUCGGCGUUAACGCGUCCAAGCCUUUGUCGUAUUGGCGGGGGAGC
rnacentral:rRNA from 1 species